CGUCCGCCACAGGAGGCUACGGGAGCCAUAGGCACACAGACGUGGCGAGGUUCUGGCCCAGGCCCUCGGUGAUGUCCAAGGAGCUGAGGCAUUGACAGAUGCUGGGAGUGAGCUGUGUGGACCCUGGAAGCAAGGGUAUUCCCACUCACGUCGGAGACACUCCUCCAAGGGGAGAAAGAGCACUUACUCCUCCAAAUCCCCCAGGCAGUGGGGUCAGCCGCAAGACCUACUUCAGUGACAGUGCCUCAGGAGGAGCCAGACCUGCCUGCCGGAGGAGAGCGGUUGCUGUGCCCUAAUCUGCCAGGCAGGCCCUUCCCUGGGGGCUCUACCCACAGGGUUCCUUCCUGAGAAUUAGAUAGAGAUGCCCCUUCCUCCCAGUUCACAGGCUGCUUAGGGCUGCCUCAGGGUGCCAGUGGGGGCAGGGUCAUCACAGGGUCUCACACACAGCAGCCUGGGUUGGGGGAGGGGGAACCACACAACUCUUGGGUUUGUGAGCCUGAGGGCCUUUUGGAUUCUGCAGGAGGCACCCAUCCUCCCUUUGGUUGAGUUCAAUCCUUAAUGCCCCCCCCCCAAAAAAAAAACUCUGCCUGGGGUCAUCCAGGGGGUGUGGCAUCCGCCUCAGAGGCUUGUGCAACCACGUUGGUCCCUCAGGGCUCCUACACUGCUCCCACAAGUAUUUGGGGAGGCUCAGUACCAGAGCCUGGGGUGUGUCUCAGUCUGGGAUCCGCUGCCCCAGGGGGCAAGGGAUCCCCUCAGCACUGUGGCCCAGUGGGUUCCUGGAGGGCACCUAGCGCAACUACUCCCACACCCCACACCUGAGCGGGCCUGAAGCCUCCCACCCAGGCAGGGCUGAGAAGCCAGGUCAGGGGCUAGAGCACAUCUUUCUCCUCGUAUCCUGUCCAGACAACAAGUACUGUGUACAACAUGGCGGGGGGGGGGGUGGCAACCAGCGGGAGGAUGCCCCCAACCCCCUACCCCAUGCACCUGUGUAGCUGCUGGUUGAGGUGGGGGCACUGGGCCUGCUGGGGCUCCUUCAGGGAAGUCUGCUUCCUGGGGCAGCUGUGCUGUCCUUCCUCCCAAGUCCCCCAUAGCCCCUUGGCUCUGUGUCUUGUUCUACCCAAGGCCAAAGGAUAAGACCCCUAUCCCCGGCCCCAGCUGCCCACUCUGUGGGGCUGGGCUGAGCAAAGCCUGUGACCCUGAGAGGGGAGAGCAUGCCCAGGGAGUCUGGGCAUGAGCACAGCCCCUGGCCAAGCUGGCCCCCCUUUCCACCCGAGGUGCCCAUCCCUCGUCCCGCCCCCCAGUUGUGUCAAGGCCACCACGCUCCUGCCCUGGUCUAUGCUGGCUGCCCUGGUCUCCCUGGUGGCCUCGAGCACAAUGCUAACUCACUCAGGCUGGGUGAGGGGCCCGCAGGGUGAGGGGCCUGGGCGGGCCUGUGUCCUGAAGGCAUAUGUUCUGGGCAGAAGGAGCCAGGCCCUGGGGUGGGGGAGUACCUCCCCCCAGGUUGACAUGAGAGCUCCUCCUCUCCCAGGCACCCCCUCAGGCCAGGGUGAAGAGGGGAAGGACAGGGCCUGUUGAUGAGCAGAUAGGCCUGGCCUUGAUGGUGGACAAGGCUGCUAGACUGUAAUGUCCCAGCCCUGCCUACGGGCCUUGUCUGAUGUCAAAGGUUGGGUCCAAGACCCCUUGGAAGGGCUCCAGGAAAGAGGAGCAGAACAGAAAUGGUCCCGACAGGCAGGAGAGGAGGGGGUGCAGGACAGGCUGGGCCUAGGGGAGAAGUGAGAGAACCCAGAGGUCCCCAAAAGACACUGAGCUAAGGGAGAGGGGAGCCAGGGAGAGAAAGGCCCGGUUGUAGGGGACAGGCAGCAGAGGAGGGCAGGGAGGAGGGUGGGGCUGAUCUCCCCCUGAGGCGCCUUUCCAGCCUCACUGCUCCCAGGACUCAAGUGUGAGACCUGCUCUGGCCCCGGGACAGAGCCAAGGGGCGUGGGGAGGGCCCAGCCAGAGCCUGGGAGAGGUCAGGGUCUGGAUGGGCCUGCAACCAAGAUCUCAGUUUGGUUCUCCUGUUAGGGUAGGAACCCUGGCCAGCCUGGCCUUCCCUGGACUACAUUGUCCAUGACGGUGUGCCACCCUGCUAAGCCCCCGUAGAGAUAGCAUCUUGCAGCCGGCAACAUUCCCUAUUGUCAGAGAGCCUGGAAACCCAUCCUGGAAUUGGAGUCAUGGGCAGUUGAAGAGCAGGCAGGGGCCUCACCCAGCAGGCUGAAAAAAAUGGGUGUCAUAGUAAGGAAAGGCCUUUACCUCACUGACCCCAGUUAAUCAUAAUAAAAACAAGUAUUGGUUUUUCUCUUCUAAAAGCCUCUAAAUAUGAUACAAAAAUGUCAUGUUAGAAGAGAAAGAUGUUUAAGUUUUCAGUCAUCCUCCAUCAUUUUUCAGAUCUGAAAUCCAUGCCCUCACCAACCCAGACUAGAGGAUGGGCUUCUGCCAAUAAAGGGUGAUCGGUGGCCCCCAGGAAAGGCUCCGGCUGGAUGCUGCCACACCUGCCACCGAGUUUCUAGGGAUUGCCCAUUCCUUUUUUUUUUUUGGCCUCGUGGCUUGCAGGAUCUUAGUUUCCUGACCAGGGACUGCACCUGGGCCCUAGCAGUGAAAGUGUCGAGUCCUAAACACUGGACCUCCAGGGAAUUCCCAAGGGAUUGCCCAUUCCCAUACCCAAGUGCAGUGAGUUGAACAGUGGCCCCCCAAAGAUACAUCGCCCAGAACCUCAGAACAUGACCUUAUUUGGAAUAAUGGUCUUUGCAGAUAUAAUUAAAGCAAGGAUUUCGAGAUAAGGUCAUUCUGGAUUAGGAUGGGCCCUAAAUCCAAUGAUGAGUGUCCGUGUAAGAGAAAGGAGAGGUAUAUUUGGACACAGAGAGACACAGAGAAGACCAGGUGAAGACAGAGGCAGAGACUGCAGUGAGCCUGCACAAGCCCAGGAACGCCUGGAGCCACACAGAAGCCGGAAGCUGUGAUCAAGAAAGGGCUUCCUGUAGGGCCACUGGAGGGAGCUGACAUCUUUAUUUUGGGCUUCUGGCCUGCAGAACUGUGAGAAAAUAAAUUUUUGUUUUAAGUCA